CCGAGUGUUAGGGCCCUCUGGGCCCGACCUCCCACCCUUGUCUAUCGUACCUUGUUGCUUCGGCGGGCCCGCCAUUCGUGGCCGCCGGGGGGCAUCUGCCCCCGGGCCCGCGCCCGCCGGAGACACCAUAACGAACACUGUCUGAAGUUUGCAGUCUGAGUUGAUUUAUUCAAUCAUUA
rnacentral:misc_RNA from 1 species